AAUAUUGGACAAUGGGGGCAACCCUGAUCCAGCCAUGCCGCGUGUGUGAAGAAUGUCUUCGGUUUGUAAAGCACUUUAAGUUGGGAGGAAGGGCUUUAGGUUACUACGCCGAAGUUCUGACGACACCAAUUUAAUAAGCAUCGGCUAACUCAGUGCCAGCAGCCGCGGUAAUACAGAGGGUGCAAGCGUUAACCGGAAUUACUGGGCGUAAAGCGCGCGUAGGUGGUUCAGUAAGAUGGGUGUGAAAUCCCCGGGCUUAACCUGGGAACUGCUUUCAUAACUGCUGAGCUAGAGUACGGUAGAGGGUAGUGGAAUUUCCUGUGUAGCGGUGAAAUGCGUAGAUAUAGGAAGGAACACCAGUGGCGAAGGCGACUACCUGGACUGAUACUGACACUGAGGUGCGAAAGCGUGGGGAGCAAAC
rnacentral:rRNA from 1 species